AGAAACAUGAGUGGCCAAGGAGAGAGGAGGGUUUGGUUUUUUUUUUUCCCCCCUCUGGCUGGAAUUUUUCACUAGAACCAUCCUCAGGGGAGUUCUCAUCUUCAAAAGAAACAUUCUUUCUAUACAAGCUGCAAAAAGAAUUAUUUAAUGACAUCAUAAAUUAAUACAGAGAGGCACAAAUUUUCCAAAAUGUAGAGAGAGAGAAAAAUAAAUUCAUGUUUGCCAAAAACACCCCAGCUCUUCCAGACUUAGGCCCCUCUUGAGCCUGUGAGCUGCCAGUGAUGCCAAAUUGAAUGGUGGGGCUUUUGGCAGGACUGAAGUUUAGCUUGUUUAAAUUCUGGCAAAUAUUCCCAUUACUCACAUUCUCAGCAAGCUGAUACAAAUAUUUGUUCUAUUUCGAGGGAAGUCCAAGCUCAGUCUGGCACCGAGUCCUGCUGGGCUCAGUGGAACUGAGCCUGCCUGGGCCAAGAUUAAAUUUGGACAUCUACCUUCAAGAAAAACAGAAUUUAAAAAUUCCCUGGGCCUUUUAGCACAGAUUAGAGCACAUCAAUGGAAAAGGGUCCUCGUGUGGAUUCAGGUUUUUCUCACUUGCUAAUUUUUGCUUUAAUCUGAUUUGAAAUGGGCCUGGUUUCCCUGGGCUUGGAUUGCCAUUCCUGACUGCAGGCUGGAAAAGCCUCCACACACAUGAACCUCCACAUUCUUGAGAAUUAAAAGCUGUUUAAACUGCACUAAAUCAAAGUGGGACACGGUAAGCACACUUGAUCUCUUUUAAAGCUGUGCAGGUUGUUGGGAUUUUUUGUUAGUGAUGUCCCCAGUUUAGUGUUUCUGAUUUGAAAAACAAACAGAGCAAAUCCUCCAGGACACUCAGGAUUUCUGUGCUCUGCUUCAUCCCCAGGAAGGAUCCUGCUCUGCCAGGAUCUCCAGCAGGAGCAGCACCUGCCAAGCCUCUCCAGGUGGGAAAAGCAGGAGAAAUGCAAUGGAACCUGGGUGCCUCACCUGGGCCUGGACACACAGCCAGGAAUUACUUUUUAAACUGCCUUCAAUCAAGAAAUAUUGCAUGGAUGAGCAGAAGGUGCACGAAAAAUGGCUAA
rnacentral:lncRNA from 1 species